AUUGAACGCUGGCGGCAGGCCUAACACAUGCAAGUCGAGCGGAGCGGCGGACGGGUGCGUGAUGACUAGGAAUCUGCCUGGUAGUGGGGGCUGACGUCCGGAUACGGGCGCUAAUACCGCACACUAUCCGAUGAGCCUAGGUCGGAUUAGCUAGUUGGUGGGGUAAAGGCCUACCAAGGCGACGAUCCGUAACUGGUCUGACAGGAUGAUCAGUCACACUGGAACUGAGACACGGUCCAGACUCCUACGGGAGGCAGCAGUGGGGAAGAUUGGACAAUGGGCGAAAGCCUGAUACAGCCAUGCCGCGUGUGUGAAGAAGGUCUUCGGAUUGUAAAGCACUUUAAGUUGGGAGGCGUUACCAACAGAAGAAGCACCGGCUAACUUCGUGCCAGCAGCCGCGGUAAUUC
rnacentral:rRNA from 1 species